GUAGAAAAAAGCCUCACACUGGGGAAAACAAGAAAGCCUGUAAUGGGCAUCGAGGCCGUCGCUGCCAAGUUGCGCCGCCGAGAAGCCGCGAGCUCCGUCCCCGCCGGCGAGCGACUGCGGUGUACGCCCGUCGGCAACGCCACCGACAACGUCCGCCAGCUCUUCUCUUCGCCCUUCAACAUCCAGGUCGCCAACUCCCUCAACCCCUCAGUUUGAGCAUCGAUUUCAGGGAGAAGAAGAGAGAUUUCGAGGAGGGAAAGAUCAGCUCCCGCACACCACCUGUUCGAUGAAAUGCUCAUGACGCGCCACAGCAAUGUGUUCUUCUCCUCUCUUCCCAGCAGCUCGCUGGUCGACACUGACAUCCAUCAAUGUUGACAAGUCACCAGUUCGAUGAAAUGCCGACAGCACUCCGCAGCGAUGUCUUCCUCUCCCCUCUCGCCGGCAAGGAGCCGGUCCACGCUGCCACCCAUCAAUGUUGACAAGGCACCAUCCAAAAGGUUAUCGAGAAGAGGCUAGAGCUAUGAAGGGCAGCGGGACUUGCUGUACAACCAAACUUGCGCACACCAAAGGGAAUUAAAUGUGCUCAACAGACUAUGACUGCAAUGAAGGCUGCCAAUAAAGAGCUGAAAGGGAUGAUGAAGGCUGCGAGGAUUGAAGAUAUGGAUUUGCAUCUGAAUCCAUGCCAACUUUUCAAAUCUGCAGAGCAUGCAGGACGAGAUGGUGGAUCUUAUGGAUGUGAGCAAUGAGAUAAAAUAAACUCUUGGUUGAAGCUACAGUAUCCCAGAUGACAUCGAUGAGGAGGAACUUAUGGGGGGAGCUUGAUGCUUUGGAAGACGAUAUGGACUUUGAAUCGAAUUCGGUUCCAUCGUACCUCCAACUAGACAAGGAGACAGAUAUUGAUUCCGAGCCUAACUUUCCUGUUGCACCAAGUGGUCAUGCCCCGGCAAACCGGCAGCAGGCCUGCUAAACUUCCAACCGCACCAGGCAAACUCCCACUGAAGCUGUUGUUGUUGAUCUUCAAGAACUGUAGUUUCAUGCAGGCCCCUAGUUCCCCAGAACAUGGGAUUUAGCCCAAGGACUUGUGACUGCAGGCAGUGGCUGCAGCGUUUGUUGAAUUGUGGUCAAGACAAAUCCUGGACCGCAGGUUUUGCUGGAAGUCAUGUGUGAGGAAAAUGCUGCAGCUUUUGUGGAAUUCAAGCUCGAGCUGAAGAAAUAGGAAAACCAAACUCAAGUGGCAAAUCCUAACCAAACCCCGCAGAGAAAAGUAGACAGGCACCUAACCUAGCUGAAACUAGCUGCUAAAUUUGCCGCAGAGAGAAGUAGGCAGGCACCUAACCUGUCAGUGUCAGCUGAAACAAGUCUUGUUGGAAGUGAUGGAAAAUGAGGCAAUGGCUGCAAUUGUGGAAUUCAAAGCAAUAGUACAAGGAAACUAAAGAAAAAUUCCAAGCUCAAGUGGGUACUUGAUCUGCUAAAAUUCCAAACUGAGGAAAAACUGCACCAUCUUUUUCUGUACGUCUGCCCAUGUAUCAACAGGCCAAUAUUCCCAGGAGUAUUUGUUACCUGCAUGUGAUGCUCGUGUUGUUGAUGAAUCCAAGGGAAUCAUCAAUUUCGAUCUGCAGGCGUAUGGAACACAAAAUCACAAGAAUCAGAUCCAAGACUCUGCUUUCCUUGUAUUAACUGUGUUCUGCAGUCCAUCUCUGCAAAAAUACAAUAUGGUGCUAUGAUCCUUUUUAUGAAGGACAUACAAAUAAGAUAUACGUGGGAAUAGCAAGCUUGAACAUUUCCCAACAUUUUUUUUAUUGUUGGUUCUCAUAUCCAGCCCGAGAGUCGAUGGAGAAGCAGGGAUCGAAUAAAUUGCCCAUGUAGUCUAAUGCAACAUCAUUUGAUGAAUCCCAAGAUAAUUGAUAAUUGAUGUGCACAGUUGGAGCACACCUUUGGUACACCAGCAAAGUGGUUUGUGUGCUGCUACGGAAAAAACAAAGUGCACAGUCAGAUAGUUGUAAAUCCGGUUCUUAGCAUGCCUGUGAUUGCACUAUACCCGAGUUGAAUCUUUGAGGGGAAGUGGUUUCUACUUCUCUGACAAAAGAACACUAUGUGAUGUCGCUAGUUACUCUUAUCCUGACUGUUAAGUUUGUAUUAGGCAUGAAGAAAAGGAAGGUUGUAUCUUUAUUCCAUGACAAUCUCGCCAACCAAUCCUCGAAACUAUCAAACUAAGUUAGGCUAAAACAGUGAGUUUCUGUGAAAA